GAUGAACGCUGGCAGAAUGCUUAACACAUGCAAGUCGACUUGAAUUUGGGUUUUUUCGCUUAGAUGUGGGUGGCGGACGGGAGAGUAACGCGUAAAGAACUCGCUCCACAGUUAGGGCCAACAUUUGGAAACGAAUGCUAAUCACUGAUAUUAUGAAUAUAUGGCAUCUUAUAAUUAUGAAAGCUAUAAGCGCUGUGAGAGAGCUUUGCGUCCCAUUAGCUAGUUGGAGAGGUAACGGCUCACCCAGGAGAUGAUGGCUAGCCGGCCUGCGAGGGUGAACGGCCACAAGGGGACUGAGACACGGCCCUUACUCCUACGGGAGGAAGCAGUGGGGAGUAUAGGACAAGGGACCAAGAGUCUGAUCCAGCAAUUCUGUGUGCACGAUGACGUUUUUCGGAAUGUAAAGUGCUUUCAGUUGGGAAGAAAAAAAUGACGGUACCAACAGAAGAAGAGACGGCUAAAUACGUG
rnacentral:rRNA from 1 species